GAAUUUGUUGUUGCCGCGCCUCAUGGGUCUUGUGGUUGUUUCGAUAUCUGUGGUAGUUUCUGUCUGUGGUCCGAUUGUGGUGGGUCUCGUACGACGCGGGAAUGGUCGGCGUUCCUUUACACUCUGUUGACAAACAUGAAGUCGGACUAUUGCAGACUCCUUGCUUAUACGAACGAGAAAAUCGUUAAAUAAAUCCACAACCUGGACAGUGGAUACAUUCUUAUCAUUGUGGAUUUUCAUGAAUCAUAUAUCAGAUAAAGACGUCAAUAUUUAAAUUGUAUAAUAAACUGAGCAUACA